GACGAACGCUGGCGGCGUGCUUAACACAUGCAAGUCGAACGGAAAGGCCCUGCUUGCAGGGUACUCGAGUGGCGAACGGGUGAGUAACACGUGGGUGAUCUGCCCUGCACUUCGGGAUAAGCCUGGGAAACUGGGUCUAAUACCGGAUAGGAGCCAGUCUUAGUGUGAUGGUUGGAAAGUUUUUUCGGUGUAGGAUGAGCUCGCGGCCUAUCAGCUUGUUGGUGGGGUAAUGGCCUACCAAGGCGGCGACGGGUAGCCGGCCUGGGAGGGUGGACGGCCACAUUGGGACUGAGAUACGGCCCAGACUCCUACGGGAGGCAGCAGUGGGGAAUAUUGCACAAUGGGCGCAAGCCUGAUGCAGCGACGCCGCGUGGGGGAUGACGGCCUUCGGGUUGUAAACUCCUUUCGCUAGGGACGAAGCUUUUUGUGACGGUACCUAGAUAAGAAGCACCGGCUAACUACGUG
rnacentral:rRNA from 1 species